rnacentral:rRNA from 1 species
UACAGAGGUCUCGAGCGUUAGGCGGAAUCACUGGGCUUGAAGCGUGUGUAGGCGGAUCGGUAAGUCCCUUGUGAAAUCCCACAGCUUAACUGUGGAACUGCUUGGUAUACUGCCAGUCUUGAGCCAGCUAGGGGCUACCGGAACAAAUGGUGGAGCGGUGAAAUGCGUAGAUAUCAUUUGGAACGCCAAUGGUGAAAACAGGUAGCUGGGGCUGUGCUGACGCUGAGACACGAAAGCCAGGGGAGCAAACGGG